rnacentral:rRNA from 1 species
UACAGAGGGUGCGAGCGUUAAUCGGAGUUACUGGGCGUAAAGCGCACGUAGGCGGUCUUUUAAGUCGGGGGUGAAAUCCUGGAGCUCAACUCCAGAACUGCCUUCGAUACUGGAAGACUUGAGUCCGGGAGAGGUGAGUGGAAUUCCGAGUGUAGAGGUGAAAUUCGUAGAUAUUCGGAAGAACACCAGUGGCGAAGGCGACUUACUGGACACAUAUUGACGCUGAGGUGCGAAAGCGUGGGGAGCAAACAGG